rnacentral:lncRNA from 1 species
UCACCUCAGCAGGGUGACAUGUUUAUUGCCAGUGAAAGAUGAAAGCCGAGGGAGUUAGAGACAAGCGUCAGCACUUCUAGUGGGCACCCGCAAAAUGAAGAUUUGACAGACCGGUGGCUGAGCCCUUGAAAUGAAACGCUGGAUCAAAUUUUACCCCAAAGAGAAGCUGCAACGUAGUCCAGGUGCAUGCAGGGAAAAUUGGUGCCAUCUUAAGAGAAGACAGGAGGUCAGUGGCUCAUACUGACAUCCUAUUUUGAAAGGCUUAUCUUUGUUUCUUUAAG